CAUUUUUCUCCAUUUUCCUCUUUCUAGAAUUAGAUUCUAGAUAGAAAGCUACAGAGAGAGGGUUCAAGUGAGAGAAAGAGAUAAGGAAAAAUAAGAACUUGGCUCCAUUUGUAGUAAUCUUGCCUGCAUGCCAAGGAACAAGGAUCAUUGAAGAAGAUAAAAGAGAAAGCACUAAGGAUCAACAAGGUUCUUCAUCAUCUUCACCAUCUCUUUCAAGAAUUUAGAAUUUCACAUUAGUAAGGUGGGGUUCUUAGCUGAUGAUGGGCCUAGAUCAAACCUAAGAUCUUGACAUGCGGAGAUUAGAUGAUUAGGUCUUGAAUUAAUGACAUUCUUACAUGUUUAAUUGUGAUUUCAUGUGGGUUUCUUUCCAUUUAUGCGUUUUCUAUAUUUCUCCGUGUUUUGUGUAAGAUGCGUUGAAUUCUUGUAUGUAAUUUUAGUCUGAAUUGCAUAAAGUAGUGUAGAAAUGUACAUACCUAGGGAAUAUUACGAGUCAUAAUAUCCAUUACGGGUUGAACAUAAUGGCCCGUGUUGCUUCUAUAAAUGUGGGUUGAGAGGCAUUACGGGGUCGUAAUAUUCAUUACGGGCUGUCGAUAAUGGCUUUAGUUUUUUGUAUUGGGGGGGUGAUGUUACGUAUUGUAAUACCCAUUAUGCAGGACGUAACAAUCCUAAAAUCCUUCUUUCCCUCACCCCUCUUGGCCAUAAUCAUGGCUUUAUGUUUAUUCAAUUUCCUUUUGGCCUUGCAUGCUAAGAAACAUUUCUUAAUGAAUGGAAAUAACAUUGCUUCACAUAGUGUAUGAGAAUGGACUUUGAUAAAUAAUGAUUUUAUUAUCGAGAGGACUUGUGGUUUUAGUAAGACUCCACUGAGAUAGUAUUAUCUCACCCCCUCAUGUUAUUGGUUAUAUUUUCAAAUGAACAGGUUUUUGGAAAAGGGAAUGGAAAGACAAAAUGAUGAGUACUUGAAGACUUUCCCUAUGUUUUAUUUCUAUUGUGUAUCUUCUAAGAAAUGUAUGUUUACACAUGUUGUAUAUGUAUGCACAUAAAUGUAGCCUAUGUAUUUUCCAUGUGCUUAUGCUAAUUAUCUAUUAUUGAUGGAUUAGUAUCAUCGUUUAAUACUCUAAAUAUGAUGAUUCUAGACACUAUCUAAUUUUGGGAUAUUAUAAUAGGUCUGUCGGUAAUUGUGACAACCACGAACUUGGUAGCUCUACAUACAUUAUUGAUGAGAUUUGGACUAGGAUUCAAUGUAAGUGAUGUGAUAUUCCCAACAAUCUCAGCAUAAGGAGGAUCUCCAACAACAAUAAUGGCAAAUUCAAAUUUGUUGUAUUUAACAAAAUCAACGUCAAGGUUUUCAAGAAAACAUGACGUGUGUGCUUGAAUCGACUGAGUUUUUAGCACUGAGGAUAGUAGUUCUUGUCCAUCAAAAGAAAAAAAGUUUUCAAUUCAAUUAUAGUUUAAUGUAAAAAAGAAAAACAAUAUCAUGUAUUUGUAACCUAAUUUCGUAAACCCGUAAACUCAUCCCCAUGAUGAAAAAUGCACUCAAACCUUUACCCAUGACCUAUUCAAGCUAAAGGAAGUAGAAAGAAUCAUUGAGGAAGAUGCAAAAACCAAAAAGUUCACAUUUUUAACAAGUUCAAAUUUCUAGACCUUUUGGAGAAUGGAGAUGAAUAAUGGAGGUGAGUAAUUGUACAUCUUCGUACGUCUUCCUUCAAACGCGUACAUCUUUUGGGAAUUUUGUUUUCCUUCAAAUGUGUAUGUCUUCUAGGAAUCUAGAGUUUGACAAUAUUUUUGUCUUCUCUCCUCGCAUUGUUCGUGGUUCAAUUGUUUGAUUUCUAAAUAAAAUAAAAUGAAAUUAAAUGAAGGAUACCAUGGUUCAGGGUGGUUCAUUUGUUUUACAAAAAAUAAUAACUUCAAAAUAAAUAAAUAAAAGCUAUGUAAAAUUACAUAAUAUCAACUAGAUAACCACAUGUGCACAAUUUAAAGAUUUUUUUCUUCAAAAUUUAACAUAAACGACUAACUUUACUAACGAAAUGGCCUUUGAAUGACAAAAUAUGAAAGUUUAUUAUUUAAGGGAUUAAAAUGAUAUUUUAAAUGAAAUUAAAGAAACAUUAAUUUUUUUUUGCUUAAUUAUAGUUUUGGUCCCCAUAUUUUGUCUAAUUCACGGAAUCACAUUCCUCUAUUUCAAAAUUAAACAGUUUUAAUCAUCUUUUUACAUUUUUGCAUUUAAAUUUAAUGAUUUGUCCAUUUUAAAAUAAUGUGUAACUUGUGAAACUUAACAAAUAAUCAUAUAAAAAUCUUUUGUGAAACAUUAUAAAUAAAAAAUAUAAUUUAAAAAAUGGACACUUCAUCGAUUUGUAGUAUAAAAAAGUAAAAGGAGAUCAAAAUUGUUUGAUUUUAAAAUAGAUAAACUAAUUUCGGAAAUGAGAUGUAAAGUAAUGAAUAGAAUAAAAAGAUGUUUAAUGAUAUUUAUAACAAAAGUUCUCGUAUAAUAGUAACUAUCCUUAAGUAACUAUAGAUGCAUUUACUUUCUAUAUAGCAUAGUCUAUGACUUUUGUAGAAAAUAAGUCGAGUAUAACAACAAUUUAAUAUCUAUUAAAUUUUAUAUGAAAAAAGUAAAAAUUAAAAUAUGAUUAUAAUGUUUUUAUUUUAUUUUCUUCUUUUGUAUUGGUAACAUAAGUAGAAUCAAAUAAAUUAAUUUAUAUCAGAUUUAAAUCUUUUUUUAUAAGGGAGGGCCAAAGGCCUAAAUAAGGAGAGGUUAGGCUACACGCCUAACAGACACAUUAGGUCAAUCCAAACUAAAGACAUUUCUUAAAUCUAUCGGGCAAGAGUCAAACCAUUCAUAAUCCACAUUACUUAAUAUGAUUUGUGUGUAAUUGCAUUAAUGAACUUGUACUAUAAGAGAAAGACAAUGUCAUAUAUAUGCAAGAGAAAGCUUGAGAAGCAAGCAAUAGAAAAUAACAAGCAUUCAUAUAAAAAAGUAAAGAAACCCAGCCACCAAUAGUAAAACAAACUAAUAGAAAAUGUAAUUUAAUACCCACCUCUAAAGCUAAAGCGAAGUUAACUGAGAUGCAUAGCUUGGAAAGGAUGAGAUUGAAAGGAUGAGGAUCAAGAGGCUUUGUUAGAAUAUCUGCAAGUUGUGCAGAGCUAGGAACAAGUAAAAGCUGGAAUAAUUUAGUGACUAACUUCUCGCGAACAACGUGGCAAUCAAUUUCAAUAUGUUUCGUUCAUUUAUGGAAAAUGGAGUUGGUUGCAAUGUGUCUAGCAUAUUGGUUGUUGCAAUACAAAGUAGCGGGUGAAAGAAAGUUGACCUGCAAAUCCUUGAGAAGAUAAGUGAGCCAUUGUAUUUCAAAAAUUAUGCGAGGGCAUAAUAUUUUGCCUCCGAGGAAGAUCGAGAAACCAUUGGUUGCUUUUUGGAUUUCCAUGAGAUGAGAGAAUCUCCGAGGAAAAUGAAAAAAGUCGGUGAUGGAGCAACGUUUGUCACUGCAAGAGGCCCAAUCAGAGUCAUUGAAAACUUUAAGUUGCAACGUAGAAGAAGAUGAGUAAAAUAGUCCUUGGGAUGGUGAUUGUUUGAUGUAGAGCAAGAUCCUGUAAGCCCCCUAGAGGUGAAGAGAGGUAGGAGAUGACAUAAAUUGGCUGAGUUUUUGAACAUUGAACCUCAGAUCAAGCGUGUGAUGUAAAGGUAAAUCAAAUGACUAAUGAGUCUGCAAAAAUAAGUUGCAUCAGUUGGUGGGGAGUUAUCGUCCUUGGUGUAUUUGUGAGUCUUUGUCAUUGGAGUAGGACAAGGUUUAGCAACAAGGAGACCAGUGUCUUGGAGUAACUCUAGGGCAUAUUUUCGUUGAUAAACGGAGAUACCAUUAGGUGAAAGAAUAACUUUGAGGCCAAGGAAAAAGUGUAGGGCCCUAAGGUCUUUAAUUUUGAAAUGAGUGUCGAGAAUGUGUUAAAUUUAUGUAUUUCAACAAUGUCGUUGCCAAACAGAAUUAUAUUAUCAACAUAUAUGAGGAGAAAGGUGCAUUUACCAUUAUGAGAAUGAGUGAAGAGAGAAUGGUCAGAAAGAGAUUGCUUGUAUUGCAAGGGAGAAAGUAACGAAGAGAGUUUGGAGAACCAUUGUUUACUUGCUUGCUUUAUCCCAUAAAGAGACUUAUGAAGUUUGCAAAUGAGUGCAGGAUCAGAAGGAUUUAAGCCAGGGGGAGGUGUCAUGUACACAUCUUCGUUGAGUUCACCAUGUAAAAAGGUGUUGUUAACAUCAAGUUGUACGAGAUGCCAGUUCUGAUAAGCAGCAAGGGCUAAGAGGAGACGGAUUAUGGUCAUUUUGGCAACUGGUGAAAAUGUGUAUAUGUAAUCAAUUCCUCCAGUCUGUGUGUAUCCUUUUGCAAUGAGUUCUGUCUUGUAUCUUUCUAUCGUUCCGUCUGCAUGGCGUUUGAUUUUAUAUAUCCAUAUGCAGCCUAUAGUUUUCUUGUUAUGAGGUAAAUUAUUCAUGAUCCAAGUGUUGUUCUGUUGAAGGGCUUGAAGUUCGACAAGCAUUGCUUGAUUCCAACAGUCAUGUUGGGAAGCUUGUUUGAAUGUGUUUGGUUCGAUUUCAGUUAUGACAUAUUGAAGAUAAUGAGAGGAGUCAGGUGGAAGGUGAUUGGCGUUGGUGUAAUGAUGAAUAGGAUAAGGUGUGGUGGGUGCAAAUUGGUGUUGAGAAGAAGAGAUGGUGUUGCAGAUGAAGUCUGCAAGGUAUUUUGGUUUUUGAAUGAUACAAGUGGAUACAUGAGAGGGGACAAAUGGUGUAGGGGGUGGAAUGUUAUUGUCAGGGGUGUUGUAGGGGAAAAUGAAUUUAUUGGUGUAUUAGAUGAGGAAUUGUCGGGUUUAGAAGGUGAAGAAUGAUGUAAAUGUUCAUCUAGUGUUUCCAAAAAGGGAAGGUUGUAAUCUAGAAUUGUGGAUUGUGUAGGAGAUUUGAGGUUAGAAGGUGGAACAAAAGGAAAAACUUCUUCAUAGAAAGAUACAUUGUGGUUUAUGGAAAUAUCACAUGUGGAUAAGUUCUUGAUAAUAAAACCUUUAAUACCUUGUUUGUAACCAAGGAAUAUGCAUUUAGAAGAUCGAUGGUCCAAUUUUUGUCAGCCCUGCAUGAUUAUGGAAGCAAAAACAAGACAACCAAAUACUUUUAUGUUAUUGUAGUCAGGUGUAGUACCACGUAAAAGCGCAUACGGAGAUUUGGCACGAGUAACUGGAGAAGGAAGUAUGUUGAUGAGAAAGACCGCAUGAUUUACAGCAAAAUUCCAUAAAAUCUUUGGGAGGUGUGAGUGAUACAUAAUGGCUCGAGCAACAUUCAAAAUAUGCAUGUGUUUUUGUUCGGCCACUACAUUUUAUUGUAGUGUUUCGACGCAUGUUUGUUGAUGGUUGAUACCUUUGUUUUUGUAGUAGUCAUGCAUGAGAAACUCUUUUCCGUUGUCAAAUCUGAUUUCUUUGUCCGAAGUGUUGAAUUGAACUUGAACCAUGUUGAUGAAUUGCAUAAUAAGUGGUAUUGCUUCACUUUUGGAUUUCAUAAGGAAAAUCGAAGCGUGUCUCGAGUAAUCAUCUAUAAUUGGAUUUCAUAAGGAAAAUCGAAGUGUGUCUCGAGUAAUCAUCUAUAAUUGUUAGAAAAUAAGCAUGACCAUGGAUAGAUGAAGGAGAGAAGGCCCCCCAUAUAUCCAUGUGAAUUAGUUCAAAUGUUGUAGAAGAUUUAAUAGUUCUCAAAGGAAAAGAUAAUUUGUUUUGUUUAGCAUAGUGGCAACAAUCACAUAUAAUUUUUGAAUUAUCAUUAACAUAAGGGAAACUUUGUUGAAUGACUUUCAAUACAUUGUUUCAAGAAACACAUAUCGUACUCCAUGUCAUGUUGUUUUUUGAGGAUAGCAUGAGCACCGCAGGUGCAGGUUGGAAGAACUCUGAGAGUUUCCAGAUCUUCCCAAUGUGUUUUGAGUUCAUUGAAGUACGUCGUUACCGAUUUCUCUCCUUGGCACAUAAAAUGAAUGUGUUGGAGAAGAUCUGAUAAUCUAAAAUGAUCAGUUUUUGAAAAACGAUGUUGGAGAUCUGUCCAGAUUUGAGCAACUUUGUCGACAUAGAUUGUGCUCUGCGCGAUGUCAGUAGAAAGAGACACAGAGAUCCAUGCAAGUACAAUAACAUUGCAGCGUUCCCAAGUAUCGAACAAGGAACCGAUUCCGUCUGGAGCUGUUAUCUUUCCAUUGAUAAACUUGAUCUUGUUCUUGCUGAGAAGAGUCCGCUUCAUGGAUCUACUCCAAGAUUCAUAGUCGUUCUCCGAUAAUGGAGGUGAGACAAGAACAGUGUCGAGAUUUUCAACAAGAUGUAGGUAGUAUGGGUUGGACUAAUCAAGGGUGUUGUUGUUCUUGUUUGUGAUGAUGGAUGAGUCUUCAUAAUCACUAUCCACCAUGGUGAAAAAGUUGAGGAAGUUCAAGAAUGGAAUGAAAAAGAUGAUUAAUAGUAAAAUUGAAUAUUAUUCACACUACUAAUACUAAAAUAUGAUUUGUGUGUAAUUGCAUUAAUGAACUUGUAUUACAAGAAAAAAACAAUAUCAUAUAUACACAAGAGAAAACUUGAGAAACAAACAAUAGAAAAUAACAAACAUUUCUAUAAAAUGGCAACAAACUCUAGGCCACCAAUAAUAAAACAAACUAAUAUAGAAUAUGGUUUAAUAUUACUAUUUAAAAACAUCUUCUUCAAAAAGGUGAAGACGCUGGAUUUAAAUCAUUUUAGUAAUAAUAAAUUUUAUCUAAGUAUAAUUAUUUUUAGUGUAAAUGUAUUUAAAAUAUAUUUUUUAAAUAAAAUAAAAUAAAAAAAUGGCAUAAUAAUCAUAUUAUUAUUUAAUUGGUAAUAGAUGUCUAUCCAACUGUAAAUGAAAAGGAAACCGAAGCGUUCAUCAAAAGUUUAUUGGAUUUUAUAACAAAAAGAAAAGAAAAGUGGGUAUUCAAGUAAAUCAGAUUAGGUACAAUCAUUACCGUGUGCAGUCAACAAUUCUCUUAACCGCCCAAAUCCAACGAUUCAAGUUUAUAGACAGAUUUUUAUUUUAUAAAAUAUAAAACUUUAAAAUUAAAACAACAACCGUCUGAUCUUAAUCAAACAGCCUGAAACUUGCUGACUUGUGAACGUAACCAUAGUACAAAAGUAUACAACCGACCUUGCAACUUUUAUUAGAGAGAGAGAGAGGAUAAGAUAAGCACGUUAGCAUCACAGAGUGUUAUCGAGUCAGCAAAACAAAACAACAAAAAGAAAAACAACUUAUAAUAAUUCCUAGUUUCCCCCAGACCCUUAUCCAUUCCCAACCUAACAACGUUAUUUCAACCAAACCGCGGCGACACACCGCCGAUUCAACUUCCAUUCGUUUUCCCAACCAACACAACUUCCAUUCUCUUUCCUUCUUCUUCAAUUCUUCAAUGGCUUCUCUCUCUAUUUUCCUUCCUCUCUUUUUCUCUCUCCUCUCCGUUACUUCUUCCUCCCCAAAUACCCUCCUCCUCCCAAUCACAAAAGAUCCCACAACACAACAAUACUUAACAACAAUUUCUCAUGGCACAC
rnacentral:lncRNA from 1 species